rnacentral:tRNA from 1 species
GGGGAUUUGGCUCAGUGGUAGAGUGCUUGCCUAGGAAGCGCAAGGUCCUGGGUUCGGUCCCCAGCCCCCA